CGAAGUCGGGGAUGAAGUCCGGCUCCCGUAGGAGUCCGGACGAAGUCUUCCUACAGUCGGAGUCGGAGAUGAAGCCCGGCUCCUGUAGGAGUCUGAACAAAGUCUUCCUGCAGUCGGAGUCGGGGACGAAGUCCGGCUCCCGUAGGAGUCCGUCCAUCGUGAAGAAUCUGAUCGAUGUUGGACGGGGUUUAUCCAUCGGC
rnacentral:lncRNA from 1 species